rnacentral:rRNA from 1 species
UACAGAGGGUGCAAGCGUUAAUCGGAAUCACUGGGCGUAAAGCGUUCGUAGACGGUUAUGUAAGUCGGGUGUGAAAGCCCCGGGCUCAACCUGGGAAUUGCAUUCGAGACUGCAUAGCUAGGGUGCGGAAGAGGGAAGCGGAAUUUCCGGUGUAGCGGUGAAAUGCGUAGAUAUCGGAAGGAACACCAGUGGCGAAAGCGGCUUCCUGGUCCAGCACCGACGUUCAGGCACGAAAGCGUGGGGAGCAAACAGG